GUUAUUUAUUCGUAUUCUUCAUGCUAUUCUGACAAAUAGGAGCCACCAGCCAUGACGAGGAAGCACCGUCCCGGCCGCCUCCUACCUGAUUCAAAAUAAGAUGAAGACGGACUGCACAGAGGAAGCUGAAUAUCACUUUUUGCAAAAGAUGUGUGGAGCUCAUAAACUUAGAUCUCAUGAAGCGUGGUACAAAAAAGUUGUCGUCGUUAGUAUUGGACGACUUAAAGGAAAAUUUGCUUAGAAUUACUGAAAUGAAGUUCGAACACAAACCACUGCAAAGUAAGUGGUAUAAGCUAAGAUACUAUUACCAACUAGUCAUGGAUUAUGAACGGAAUCGAAUAAUGGGAAAAGAUUUGAUGAAGAAAGCAAAGAAACAAACAUAGGAUGUUCAUGGAUAUUGUAAAAGGUCAAAAAGUUAAUUAUUUUGCAUUGCUAGAGAUGCUGUUUGAAGAUGCGAAAAGUGGCAGCCAGAAAAUUGAUGCUGUCAACCUGUGUGGUGUCCCUGCAGAGGAGGUGACUGAGGAGCUGCUGUUGGCUUCUGAUGCGGCUGCUGGUGCCGAGCAAGUCUAAUUCUUGCUUUUCUAUUAACUUAUCUUUCUGUUUGGUGUGCUGGAGAUAUAUUUCUCUCUAAUCUUUUGCUAUGUCUAAGACUUGAGUGUGUUAAGUUGGAACAUCCGAGGUUUGAAUGCUCGGCUAAGCAACAAGCUUUAAGAACUCAUUAA